UACGUAGGGGGCAAGCGUUGUCCGGAUUUAUUGGGCGUAAAGAGCUCGUAGGCGGUUCGACAAGUCGGAUGUGAAAUCUCCACGCUCAACGUGGAGGGGCCAUUCGAAACUGUCGUGACUUGAGUCCGGUAGGGGAGUGUGGAAUUCCCGGUGUAGCGGUGAAAUGCGCAGAGAUCGGGAGGAACACCCGUAGCGAAGGCGGCACUCUGGGCCGUGACUGACGCUGAGGAGCGAAAGCGUGGGGAGCGAACAGG
rnacentral:rRNA from 1 species